rnacentral:rRNA from 1 species
GACGAACGCUGGCGGCGUGCUUAACACAUGCAAGUCGAACGGAAAGGCCCUGCUUUUGUGGGGUGCUCGAGUGGCGAACGGGUGAGUAACACGUGAGUAACCUGCCCUUGACUUUGGGAUAACUUCUGGAAACUGGGGCUAAUACCGGAUAGGAGCUUCUGCUGCAUGGUGGGGGUUGGAAAGUUUCGGCGGUUGGGGAUGGACGCGCGGCUUAUCAGCUUGUUGGUGGGGUAGUGGCUUACCAAGGCUUUGACGGGUAGCCGGCCUGAGAGGGUGACCGCCGACAUUGGGACUGAGGUACGGCCCAGACUCCUACGGGAGGCAGAAGUGGGGAAUAUUGCACAAUGGGCGGAAGCCUGAGGCAGCAACGCCGCGUGCGGGAUGACGGCCUUCGGGUUGUAAACCGCUUUCGCCUGUGACGAAGCGUGAGUGACGGUAAUGGGUAAAGAAGCACCGGCUAACUACGUG